UCUUAAUUGUUAAAGAAUUCUGACAGCCGGACGAUGACCAUCACCUCUCUUCAUAAGUCGUGAAUCCUGUCUGAGGACCUCGACUACCGCCACCAACCCGGGGGUUGAAUCUACGUGCAUCGCGUCGUAAGCGUAAUUCAUCCGACUGACGACCACUACGACCGUCGAUCCUAGGGUCAUAUUGUAUUUCAUCUCGUCUUAAUCGAAUUCCGACAGCCGGACGAUGACCAUCACCUCUCUUCAUAAGUCGUUAAUCCUGUCAGAGGACCUCGACUACCACCGCCAACCCUAGGGCUGCAUAUACGUGCACGACGUCAUAAUUGCGCUGCACCGCGCCGUGCCGAGCUCAAGAGAUGCGUCCUGGCGCCACGCCGAGAUCCCGGA